UUGCUUGGACUCAUCUAUUUUUGCGUGGUCGGGCCGUCAUCGAAGUCAUCACACCGGAUAGCAAGUUUUGGUACUUUCUUCUUAGUUGGCUUAGAAGAACAUUUUGGCAUGUAUAAGCUAGUACGUUGUGUUUGAAUUAUGGCAUGUAAAUUUUAAGCCAUGCGAAAAUGGCACGAAUGUUCGAUUGAGUUGGAUCAAGGGUAGGCAUGAAAUGGACCUAGUUACUUUCGUAACAGAUGCUGGCAGCAG
rnacentral:lncRNA from 1 species